rnacentral:rRNA from 1 species
UACGUAGGGUGCAAGCGUUAUCCGGAAUUAUUGGGCGUAAAGAGCUCGUAGGCGGUUUGUCGCGUCUGCUGUGAAAACUGGAGGCUCAACCUCCAGCCUGCAGUGGGUACGGGCAGACUAGAGUGCGGUAGGGGAGAUUGGAAUUCCUGGUGUAGCGGUGGAAUGCGCAGAUAUCAGGAGGAACACCGAUGGCGAAGGCAGAUCUCUGGGCCGUAACUGACGCUGAGAAGCGAAAGCAUGGGGAGCGAACAGG